CCUUGUCAUACUUUUUUCUCCCCUCUUUUUCCCACCCCAUGUCCUGAAAAGAGGUAUCAGAAAAUGAAGACCCUGAUCUUUGUACUUAGCUCAUUGUAAUCACGUGUCAUUGUAAUCACGUGUCACUGCAGUAAUUUCUCUUUUCUAUUUUUUUAUAUAAUCAUUCAAAAUGUUAUUCAUCAUUGGAUAAUUAGAAAGAUUAUCAUAAGUGGCUGGUUAUUUUAUGAUUGAUUUUAAAGAAAUUUUAAGUAUCACUUAUGAAUACCUAAUAUAUAUUUUUUUAAAAACUAUUUUUCUAGAAUAAUUUUAUGUUCACUGCAAAACUGAAUGGAAAAGCACAAAGUGCCCAUGCUUAUUUUUUGUGCCACUGGAACACCAUCUGCCUCAUAUCGGCAUACUAUACCAGAGAGGUAUUUUGUAACUGAUAAACCCUCGUUGCUAGAUCCUUAUCAAAGGUGCAUCUUUAACCAGAAAUGGUGGUUGCCCCUGUAAUUCCAGAACUUGAGAAGUUGAAGCAGGAGCUGUGCUGUGAGAUGUGGCCUGGAUCACCUUGUCUCAAAAACAAACAAAAACAUCAUAGUUUGUACAAAGUCUCACAAUUGUGGUUUUACAUUCCAUGGGAUUUAACAAAUGUUCAAAACCGUAGAUGCAUCGUUAUCCCCCUAUAACACAAUAGUUCUGCUGUCUUAAUAAUCCUGUGUGCUCCACCUAUUCAUCCUUCUGUCUGCUCCAGCCCCUCCCUGGCAACCACUGAUCUCUCUGCUCUCUAGUUUUGCAACUUUGAGGAUAUCAUGUGGUAGCAAUCCUUAACUUAUUAGUACGUGUUUUGAUUCCCUUGUUUCUCAUUAUGGUUGUUUCUACUUUUUGUCGAGUAUGAAUAAAGCUGCUAUCAAUAUUCAUGUAUAAGUUUUAUGAG
rnacentral:lncRNA from 1 species